UCAUUCCUAUUAGCUGAAGGCCAUAUCCAAUGGGCUUCAAGGAGGCUGCCCAAGGCCUUAUUAGGAAUUAGGAUUUCUCUUUCGAAGUCAUUUGAUCUUUGGAGGCUAGGAUCAGUAAGUUCAGAGUUUUGGAUAUAAUUUGGAUGAAGAGUUUGUAUGAUUUCGAGUUUUUAUGAAGGAGAUAUACCUGUUCAAAGUUAAGGUGUCAAAUUUGUACCUACUGUCACUCUUUGAAGUAUAAUAUAUGCAUUUAGAGAGCAAUAAAAGUUUGGCAACUAGAAUUGGAGAGAAAACUUUCUUGGCUAUACUUUACAUAUAUUUUUUGAUAAAUUCUAAGUCUAGAUAAAAGAGUUAUAGGGCAUUGAAGACAGCAUAUAUAAUUCAAUGGCAAUAAGUGAGUCAUUAUGUUUUUAGUAAUGGUUGGAGCCAUAUCUUAAAUUUUUGGAUGAAUUUUUGGCUCUAAAUUUCCGUAAGUGUGAAUUAUUGAAUUAAAAAGCUAUAGAUCAAAGUUUCAUGGUAUUUGAGUACUUAUUUUGUGAGAUAUGAAGAAAUUAGCACACAGGUGUAUGUAAGCUAGGAUUUAAAGCUAAUCCUAAUAAAAU
rnacentral:lncRNA from 1 species